GCGAUCUUAUGCAUUUAUGAAAGAACUGCUCAUUUUAAAAUCUUCCCGGUCUACUGACAUUUGUUAAGACAUCUGCUUUAAACAACAAUGCUCAUGAUAACUUUCAUUAACUCUACAACAGGUAAAUCCACUUCACCAGCUAAUUAUUCUUUGACAGCGAUGCCAUAGAAAUAUACAGAGCUGCCGCAAAAACGGAAGUUCAAAGACAAUAUUCUAAAGAUGGCGGCGCGCUUGUUUCUCUGGUAAAUAAGGUCUAUAGCCAUGUAGUUUUUCUUUACAAAGUGACCUCGCCAACUGCACUUUAAUAUCCUUCUCAUUAUUUUCCUAUAGCAGCUAAUGAAUCAGAAGUCACGCACAUUCACAGACAACACCUUACUUCGAAGUUGAAAAACAAGGUGCGUAGUGUUUUACAAAACGACAUUGCCAACUACUGGCCUGGCAUGCAUAAUACAGCGUUUUUAGUCGUUUUUGCAGAUCUGAGUGACAACGUUGUCGUCUGUACAAGAAAAACGUAAUUUUUCCAUUUUUAGUAAGUUACAUCGUUGUCAUGUAAAUGCACCCUUUAUAGUUCCGCUAUAUGAUGUCUUUAAAUAUAGCUACAACAUGAGUGUGAUAUUUAUUUCUGAAAUGUUAAAAAAGCAAUGUUAAAUGUAGCAGUUUACAAGUCAAGUCACCUUUAUUUACAAAAAAAAAAAAAAAAAUUCUCUGCCAAUGAAAAUAAAAGAAGCCAAAGCAUUUAAGCUUUGACUCUCACCAAGCAACACAGAUCAAAGGCCGGUUUGGAAUACAAUUUGACUGGAGCGGAGCGAAAGAGAUUUCCUUCCCCCUCAAAGCGCUCUCAAAUCACCCCAGUUCCACUCCGGGUUUUUAGGUUUCCCGCUCCCUGGCGAGAGAAACCAGCUCAAACAGAUCCUGGCGCGAGUGAAAACAAAUGCUCACUUUUAAAGGUCCACUCCCUCUCCCUGCUGCAGACUGACUCCACUCCGACCCUAGAUGUUGUUGCAACCUUUUUGUGUGAUGACUGCAUUUCCAUGCUUGACGACACUGAUUCAUGUGGCUCCUCUCUAUAUGACUCAACAGACAACGAGGCAUCUUGGCAACCCAAACUGUCUGGAGACACAGUAAUAACUCCUCCAUAGACCUUACACAAUGUAUCACUCCUCCUGAGCCCAUCUCUGUGGUUUGCUAGUGUCUCUCAAACCAUUCUAUUUUAGGGUGAAGUGGAUGUUUUCCCUCUGAUGUAGACCUCAGUGAAGAGGUAAGCAGUAGAACAAGCGGAAAGUUAUAUUAAACUAGCAUCCCGCUAAGAAUCACAUUCUCGCCUUAACCAUAUUACCAUUAAGGGACAUAUGAAAUGUUAAAGUCUUUUACUGUC